rnacentral:rRNA from 1 species
UACGUAGGUCCCGAGCGUUGUCCGGAUUUAUUGGGCGUAAAGCGAGCGCAGGUGGUUUAUUAAGUCUGGUGUAAAAGGCAGUGGCUCAACCAUUGUAUGCAUUGGAAACUGGUAGACUUGAGUGCAGGAGAGGAGAGUGGAAUUCCAUGUGUAGCGGUGAAAUGCGUAGAUAUUAGGAGGAACACCAGUUGCGAAGGCGGCUCUCUGGACUGUAACUAACACUGAGGCACGAAAGCGUGGGGAGCAAACAGG